UGCUAGUUCUGUUCGCCUGUUCAUGACCAUCCACGAUUAAAGGAGAUUUUUUCAUCAUAUCUGCAUUCCGGCCUCUGUGUUUGGGCCACUCCUGCUUCCCCAACCUGACACCUUGUUUCACCUUCUAACAUCACAUCACAGUUAUCAGGACUAUGUUAAUGUAAUAUCAGUCCUGGCUGCUCUGCUGUGACACGUCACUGUGUGUUGAGUCAGAGAGGAGAUUUUCCUGGAACAGUUGACUCAUGAUGCUUCGAGGCUGCUGCACGGAGCAUUUCUCUGUCCUGAGCCAGCAGAGGCUGCGGCUUUCUCACCGCUGCCCACCCAAUUGAGUCGGGACAGCCUGUUUCCAUGUGGCCCUGCACUCUCAAGAAGGAUACCAGGUGAAGCAGAAGUGAUGCCCAGCGGCGGUAGCGAUGAGAACGGGGCAUGAUGGGCAGGAACGAACAAGUACCAGUAAUUUCAUCCCUGGAGCAGAGAGAUCAGUGAGCUGCUUCGCCGUCGCUGAGGGAAUAAAGAAAUGGUGAUAGCUGGUUCAGGUCUAGAUGUUGGUUUUGCCCUUUCACCCAGUGGAUACCGGCUGGCCUCUGACGUUAGGAGAAUGGUUUACACUGAAACUUUAUUGUUAUUUGUCAUUGUAUUUAAAAAAUACCUUCUCUACUGUAUGUGUGAUGUUGUUGCAUCAGGUGGAUGAAACUUUCGCUGCUACUGAUACUGAUACUGACACCACUCUGCAAAGGCUCCAGUGUCGUCUCACCUGACGCAACAGGAAAUGCAUAGAGGAGUUCAUUUCACUUGAGAAAACCAACAAACAACAACCACAUCUAAAUCAUGAGCUGUUUAUUUCAUUCUUUUGCGUGCAUUAUUGCACAUAGAGAGUGUAAUGAAAGCGGUUGUAUUAUUCAGA